GCUGCCGGGUAGGCGCUGGGGGAGCGCGAGGGGCCGAGCAUCCCUCUCGCCCCGCCGUGACCCCCCGCCGCCUCCAGGGCCCCACGCGGUAUUCCAGGUGGUGAGAGCACGUGCACCAAUAACUGAGAAGGCAGGAUGGGCUCCUUUUCAUGCUGUGAACACACAAUGAAGCAAGGAUAAGGAGAGUUGCACCGCGAGCGUGGGAGUGAAAUUUCUUUGAAAUGCUGGUGUCAAGAAAAAGGAAAAGCAGCUGAAAAGCAUACUUGAUUUCAUCUUUGUAUUUCCAGAGCUAGCAGUGCUUAGAACACAGCAGGUACCCGUCAAAACAACCAAGGGGUCUCCUCCUUAACUUCACCCAGGUACCUUCCUAAGAGUAUUCUUGCCACUCUCGGAGCCCUGCGGGACACAGCAGGGCACAGUUCCGGCGGCCCAGACUCCAACGCCUCCUAGGGCGCAUGCGCCGGAGCCGCCGCCGGGACACGGACACCGGCGUCGGGGCCGCGCCCCUCCCCCGCCCCGGCCGGAGUUGAGCAGCGGUAAUAUGGACCAGCACAGGGACGUGGUGACAGGUCUUUCCACACCACCCUCUGCCUUACCUGAGCUCUCGGUGAUGCCUCAACAGUGAGGGAACAGCAGCUCCAAAAGAACGGUCCACUCUGGCUUCAACCUUGCAAUAGCUGCCAGCGGCUGCGAACCGGCCGUCACUUCCGCCUUCUCAUUGGCUGCGGAUCUCACGCGAUACCACUUUCGACACCCGAGCAAGGGGCGGUCGGGUGUGCGGCGAGCGCUUCUGCGCGUGCGCCUUUCCCCGGCAACCCGGAACCCGGGGCUUCGCCUACCCGCGGGUAAACUUCGGGGUUGGAAGGCCGCUAAAUAUACUGGAAGUUGUAGUUUGUUAGUGCGCAGGCUGCAGUUGUCGGGCUUUCUUAGGCACUGUGCCCCAGUGCUCAUAACAUUAAAUUGUAAAUGACAUAGCUACGAUCCUUGCUCAGGAGUGACGCUCAAACUUCGUUUCCAUCCUCAAACUGUUGAUUGAACAUUUUCCUUUUUUCUAAAGUUGUGCCCAAACUUAUACAACACAGUGGAUUUUUGGGUGGUUAAAACCUGUAUCACCUCCUAGAUCCAGAUAAAGAACAUUUUCACCACCCCAGUAUG